AGGGAUCUAUGCAUGCUAUUAAGUAAGGAUUAAGGCGAUUCAUCUUUGGGUGUUACCUAAUGGGGUAGUGAAUGUAGUGUAGAUUUCAUGGUGAAACAUAAAUAAGGAGUUAUUUAUUAAGGUGACUUAGAGUAUGCUUGAAGUAAGAAAGAGGUUCUUGAUUGUAUUAUGUAGAGUUAGAAAAGUAUAAGUUAUUAAUGAAUGUAUUUGGUGAUUGAGUAUUGUUAAUUUAGUCUUUCC
rnacentral:lncRNA from 1 species